rnacentral:tRNA from 1 species
GUAGCUUAAUGGUAAAGCACCCAACCGGCAAUUGGGGGAUCUGGGUUCAAAUUCCGGUACG